GACGAACGCUGGCGGCGUGCUUAACACAUGCAAGUCGAACGGAAAGGCCCUGCUUUUGUGGGGUGCUCGAGUGGCGAAAGGGUGAGUAACACGUGAGUAACCUGCCCUUGACUUUGGGAUAACUUCAGGAAACUGGGGCUAAUACCGGAUAGGAGCUCCUGCUGCAUGGUGGGGGAUGGAAAGUUUCGGCGGUUGGGGACGGACGCGCGGCCUAUCAGCUUGUUGGUGGGGUAGUGGCUUACCAAGGCAUUGACGGGUAGCCGGCCUGGGAGGGUGACCGGCCACAUUGGGACUGGGAUGCGGCCCGGACUCCUACGGGGGGCAGCAGUGGGGAAUAUUGCACAAUGGGCGGAAGCCUGAUGCAGCAACGCCGCGUGCGAGAUGACGGCCUUCGGGUUGUAAACCGCUUUCGCCUGUGACGAAGCGUGAGUGACGGUAAUGGGUAAAGAAGCACCGGCUAACUACGUG
rnacentral:rRNA from 1 species